AUUUAUUUAAUAUAAAAAGUAUAUUUGGCUUCCAACCAAAAAGUUCAGUUUGAAAUAAAUA
rnacentral:tRNA from 1 species